UAGACAAGUAGACAAGUUAAAAGGAAAGAAGUCCAGUUAGAAGUCUUAGGUUUAAGGGAAAACUUGAUUUAUUAGUUCUGUGUUCAUUUGCAUGUCUGUGACAAUACGAUCGGUUAAAUUUAUAACAAACCAAGCCUAUUUACUUUGGGUAAAAUUUUCGAAAGACAAGUGAUGUUUACCGUUGUACAGUUUAUUCACAAACAAAGAUUAAACAUUCUUACCGUACCGGUGUGUUGGGUCAAAGGUGACUUGCUGAAGCUGCCCGAUUCGUUCGACGAUGUUGUGGAGAAAAUGCGCGUCCAGGGAAAUUCCUACGAGGGUCCUGCAAGAAUGAUUCCUGCAAUUGUAGGCCAACAAUUUACAAGCUUCGGUGAAGCGGAGGCGGCAGCAGCAACAACGGUUCUUCUAAGCGAUAGAAUACUAUUCGAUACCUCCGUGAUGGAGCAAGAUAGUACCGAUGAUAUGCUGUUUGAGCUGGCAUCAAAUCUUCCUCCGAUUCCAGAUUCUGCUCUAAAGUUGGAAAUGGGCGAAGCGUUUCCCUUCGAUGAGGAACCUAUCGAAGACGAUAUGGCGAAGGAAAGUUUAGCAGAAAUUUUUGACAGAGUAUUCAGCUGUACUUACUCGUGAAGACCUUAGAAAAGAGUUACGCGAUCUGAAAGAUGACUUGAGCUCUCUAAUUCAUACAGCAGUUCGGACUGCUGUGGAAGACUGCUUUCAAGCAAAAAUGGAUUCUCUCGUGACACCUUCAAAAAGGAAGGCGGAGAAGGUUUCAAUAAAAAAAUUAGAAAUAGACAUGCCACUUGAGACACGUAAGCCUAUCGAUACUGAAGAGGAGCUUUCACAAUGGAACACGGAAUUGGCAGAUGAACAUUUUUGUGAACAAUAUCUGAAAUAUUUUUCCAAAAUAAUCACACCAAACUCGUGCGUCGGAAAUGGAGAUAACGCUUGCUAUACCAUCGUCGAUUUCCUGUUCACAAGAUCAUUCUGGAAUCUCUUCACGUGGACCGGGGUAAACCGAGGACAGAAAUCACAGCGUGGUUUCCGAGAGUUUGGAAACGUUAUUCAGCUGUUGGUUAAAAUUGUUUGUAUUGGCGAUCCGACGUACGAUCCCCAUAAAUUGGAGAUGUUUUGUAAAACUCGACUCUUUCGGUACUCGAAAAUGCGUGCUUCAGCGAAAAAAGUUCGACGAUCGGCUUGUCGACAACGGAAAACGUGAUUCCGGAGGAACGAUUUGCUUAAUUUAGGCACAACUAUUGAGGGAAAUGUGACUGAUUAGGCUUAGAUGCCAAGCAUGCACAAUUAAUAAUCAGUAUUCUAUGUAGGUUUAAAAGUGAUGAAAAAUCAUAUGAUUCAAAUAUAUUGUGUGAAGAAUAAACAAACCUAGUAAGAGUAAUUUUCUAUUGCAUAAGUAGGUAUGAGAAAAACGCAAUGGUGACUGGGAGCGAAUUUCGUCGUGUGAAUUACACUGGUAAAUACCAGGUUUCAGGAGUCUAUCAAUAAAAAUUCAGGUAGUUUCGGAUGGAUUCCUGUAAGUAACUCGAUUGUUACAGUUUUUCAAUAUAUUUACUUCAUUCUUCAUUUUACAUUUGUCUCAUUCACAAUUUAUUUGUAUAUUUUUCUACUACUUUCACACUUUAUUCCAUAUCAUAACAGUAUUCAUCAUCAGUAAUAAUAUAUGUUUGAUUUACCUUUGUAGUAAAUGGUUUAUAAUAUAUAUAAAACUAAAUCGAUUAUUGUG